AGAGUUUGAUCAUGGCUCAGAUUGAACGCUGGCGGCAGGCCUAACACAUGCAAGUCGAGCGGUAGCACAGAGAGCUUGCUCUCGGGUGACGAGCGGCGGACGGGUGAGUAAUGUCUGGGAAACUGCCUGAUGGAGGGGGAUAACUACUGGAAACGGUAGCUAAUACCGCAUAACGUCGCAAGACCAAAGUGGGGGACCUUCGGGCCUCAUGCCAUCAGAUGUGCCCAGAUGGGAUUAGCUAGUAGGUGGGGUAACGGCUCACCUAGGCGACGAUCCCUAGCUGGUCUGAGAGGAUGACCAGCCACACUGGAACUGAGACACGGUCCAGACUCCUACGGGAGGCAGCAGUGGGGAAUAUUGCACAAUGGGCGCAAGCCUGAUGCAGCCAUGCCGCGUGUGUGAAGAAGGCCUUCGGGUUGUAAAGCACUUUCAGCGGGGAGGAAGGCGNCGAUUGACGUUACCCGCAGAAGAAGCACCGGCUAACUCCGUGCCAGCAGCCGCGGUAAUACGGAGGGUGCAAGCGUUAAUCGGAAUUACUGGGCGUAAAGCGCACGCAGGCGGUCUGUCAAGUCGGAUGUGAAAUCCCCGGGCUCAACCUGGGAACUGCAUUCGAAACUGGCAGGCUAGAGUCUUGUAGAGGGGGGUAGAAUUCCAGGUGUAGCGGUGAAAUGCGUAGAGAUCUGGAGGAAUACCGGUGGCGAAGGCGGCCCCCUGGACAAAGACUGACGCUCAGGUGCGAAAGCGUGGGGAGCAAACAGGAUUAGAUACCCUGGUAGUCCACGCCGUAAACGAUGUCGAUUUGGAGGUUGUGCCCUUGAGGCGUGGCUUCCGGAGCUAACGCGUUAAAUCGACCGCCUGGGGAGUACGGCCGCAAGGUUAAAACUCAAAUGAAUUGACGGGGGCCCGCACAAGCGGUGGAGCAUGUGGUUUAAUUCGAUGCAACGCGAAGAACCUUACCUGGUCUUGACAUCCACAGAACUUUCCAGAGAUGGAUUGGUGCCUUCGGGAACUGUGAGACAGGUGCUGCAUGGCUGUCGUCAGCUCGUGUUGUGAAAUGUUGGGUUAAGUCCCGCAACGAGCGCAACCCUUAUCCUUUGUUGCCAGCGGUUCGGCCGGGAACUCAAAGGAGACUGCCAGUGAUAAACUGGAGGAAGGUGGGGAUGACGUCAAGUCAUCAUGGCCCUUACGACCAGGGCUACACACGUGCUACAAUGGCAUAUACAAAGAGAAGCGACCUCGCGAGAGCAAGCGGACCUCAUAAAGUAUGUCGUAGUCCGGAUUGGAGUCUGCAACUCGACUCCAUGAAGUCGGAAUCGCUAGUAAUCGUAGAUCAGAAUGCUACGGUGAAUACGUUCCCGGGCCUUGUACACACCGCCCGUCACACCAUGGGAGUGGGUUGCAAAAGAAGUAGGUAGCUUAACCUUCGGGAGGGCGCUUACCACUUUGUGAUUCAUGACUGGGGUGAAGUCGUAACAAGGUAACCGUAGGGGAACCUGCGGUUGGAUCACCU
rnacentral:rRNA from 1 species